rnacentral:tRNA from 1 species
UACGGGGUGGUGUAUUGAGCACGUGGGUUUUUGGAGCCUGAAGGGAAAGAGUAAGAGCUUUUCCUCGUAU